rnacentral:lncRNA from 1 species
CUGGAAUCAAUUAGACAAGUCUGUCGCAACUAUAGCGUCCAAUGACAUAUUUUUUGCACUGCUAAAAUAUUUCUUCUUGUAUUAGAGUUACUAUUCACUCAUGUUACUGCUAGUGAUGACUGCUAUAUGCUUGUACUUGUAAUUUCCUAAAUGAGCGUUCUUGUUA